rnacentral:rRNA from 1 species
CCCUUAGAUGUUCUGGGCCGCACGCGUGCUACACUGAGUGGAUCAGCGGGUCAGGUUGCGCGAAAGCGUUUCCUAAUCUUUAAAUCCGCUCGUGAUGGGGAUUGACGGUUGCAAUUUUCUGUCAUGAACGAGGAAUACCUUGUAAGCGCGGGUCAUCAUCCCGCGCUGAAUACGUCCCUGCCCUUUGUACACACCGCCCGUCGCACCUACCGAUUGAACGGUCCGGUGAAAUCUUGGGAUUUGCUUUGCUUUCGUUUAUUCGAUGCUCGGCGAAGAACUUGAGUAAACCUUACCGUUUAGAGGAAGGUGAAGUCGUAACA